CACGGGGGGAGCAAGCGUUGUUCGGAAUCACUGGGCGUAAAGGGCGUGUAGGCGGUCAAGUAAGUGGAAUGUGAAAGCCCCCGGCUUACCCGGGGAUCUGCAUCCCAAACUGCUUGGCUUGAGUACGGGAGAGGAUAGGGGAAUUCCUGGUGUAGCGGUGAAAUGCGUAGAUAUCAGGAGGAACACCGGUGGCGAAGGCGCCGUAUCUG
rnacentral:rRNA from 1 species